GACCCUACAUGUGUAGGAUAGGUGGGAGGCUUUGAAGCACGUACGCCAGUAUGUGUGGAGCCGUCCUUGAAAUACCACCCUUGUAGUGUUGAUGUUCUAACGUCGACCCCUUAUCGGGGUUGCGGACAGUGCCUGGUGGGUAGUUUGACUGGGGCGGUCUCCUCCCAAAGAGUAACGGAGGAGCACGAAGGUGGGCUAAUCACGGUUGGACAUCGUGAGGUUA
rnacentral:rRNA from 1 species